AACCCACCACCCCACCACCCGCCCCCGCUUCGCAGAGAUCCCUGCCUGCCCUGGCUGCACUCCUGGCUCACUGGCACCGCCCUGCUGGAUGGAAGAAGCAAAUGAACAGGCUAACACGCGCAAGCAAACCUACAUGAUGAACUUUGCCAGACAGACCGGCCUGCGUCACUACUACAGCCGUAAGAGGCGGGCACUGCGACUGCAUGCCUAGGCCUGUGCUGAGAAAGGGAUUGGCUUCCUCUGACCUGCCAAUCACACUCCAUCCUCCCGUUCCCCUGACAACACGUUGCCCUGUUGAGUCCCAGCCGCAAGUGGAUUCCAGUCAGCCUUAGACCAACCUACCCUACCCCACCCUACCCUACCUACCUACCUACCGACCUACCUAUCCUAUUCUAAGAUACUGGUCAUUCAUUUGGUUUACACUGCAGCCAAUCAAGGCCUUCCCCAAACACACGCAUUUGGCGGGAAGACUUGGAAGGAAGGAGCGGCAAAGGCAGCCAUUUUGUUAUUAUGGAUUCUUUGAUUUGGUCGUUCUGUUUUUUUGAUUCAUGGACCUUUGCGGUAUCCGGUUGUUUUAUAAUGAUUUGCUGUUGGUUGUUCUGAUUCCUGUUCCCAGUUGUGAAGCCGCCUCCGCUGGCUCUGUCCCUUGUCACACCCCAACUCCCUCCUCCUCCUCCUCCUCCAUCACCCCCACGCCUCCUCCACCACCACCACCUCCUCCGCCUCCUCCUCCUCCACGUCCUCUUGCCACACUGUGAAGCCCCAGCGAUAUUAAACGAGACGUCGGCCCGAUCGGGGGGCCGCCGCCCGCCCCCGCAGCUCCACUGAGCCGCCCGCCCAGGAGAGAGGACCCCGUGCCGAACCCUGACCCCCACCCACACCUCCACCCCCGACCCCCCCCAAACCAGUACCAGUAUGCCGGGAGCAAGACCCCGCCACCCCGAUACGAUACAGACCCUGACGAGGAGGAAGCUACGCGGCUAGCCGAAGACGCUAACGGAUUAAACAAAAAGAAAGAGAAAAAAAAAGUCCAAAAAAAAAAAAGCUAAAGAAACGAGUACGGUGUUCUUGCUGUUCUGUGUGUCUGUGGGUUCAGUUUGUGAUGAGUUGACUGUGCUGUUGCGUUUCCAUUCGUUUGUUCGUUUUCUACUAAUUCAUCUACUUUGAUGGGAGGGGAGGGAGGGAGAGGGG
ensembl:lncRNA